UCAUAUGCUUGUCUCAAAGAUUAAGCCAUGCAUGUCUAAGUACAAGCCUCACUAAGGUGAAACCGCGAAUGGCUCAUUAAAUCACACCUAAUCUACUGGAUAGUUAACAGUUACUUGGAUAACUGCGGUAAUUCUGGAGCUAAUACAUGCACAAAUCCCCGAACUUAAGUGAGGGGAGCUUUUAUUAGAUCAAAACCAAACGGCUUCGGCUGUUCUCUUGGUGACUCUGAAUAACUUUGAGCUGAUCGCAUAGCCUAGCGCUGGCGACAUAUCCUUCGAAGGUGUGCCCUAUCAACUGUCGACUGUGGCAUAGACGCCCACAGUGGUUUUGACGGGUAACGGGGAAUCAGGGUUCGAUUCCGGAGAGGGAGCCUUAAAAACGGCUACCACAUCUAAGGAAGGCAGCAGGCACGCAAAUUACCCAAUGACCGAAGGUCGAGGUAGUGACGAAAAAUAACGAUACAGGACUCAUCUGAGAGCCCUGUAAUCGGAAUGAGUACACUUUAAAACCGUCCCCGAGGAUCUAUUGGAGGGCAAGUCUGGUGCCAGCAGCCGCGGUAAUUCCAGCUCCAAUAGCGUAUAUUAAAUUUGUUGUGGUUGAAAAGCUCGUAGUUGGAUCUCGGCGGUCUGAGGGCGGUUCACUUGCUAGUGCUACUGCCCUAUAGACCGUAGUUUUGCCAGAGGUCUCAGGGUGCUCUUAAUCGAGUGUCUUGUGAUGCUGGCAGGUUUACUUUGAAAAAAUUAGAGUGCUCAAGGCAGGCUGUUACGCCUGAAUAUUCGUGCAUGGAAUAAUAGAAUAGGAAGUCGUUUCUAUUUUGUUGGUUUUCGGAAAUCGACUUAAUGAAUAAUAGGGACAGUUGGGGGC
rnacentral:rRNA from 1 species